UACGUAUGGUGCAAGCGUUGUCCGGAAUUAUUGGGCGUAAAGAGCUCGUAGGCGGUCUGUUGCGUCGGCUGUGAAAACCCGGGGCUCAACUCCGGGCCUGCAGCCGAUACGGGCAGACUAGAGUUCGGCAGGGGAGACUGGAAUUCCUGGUGUAGCGGUGAAAUGCGCAGAUAUCAGGAGGAACACCGGUGGCGAAGGCGGUUCUCUGGGCCUGUACUGACGCUGAGGAGCGAAAGCGUGGGGAGCGAACAGG
rnacentral:rRNA from 1 species